rnacentral:rRNA from 1 species
GAAUUUUGGACAAUGGGCGAAAGCCUGAUCCAGCAAUGCCGCGUGCAGGAUGAAGGCCUUCGGGUUGUAAACUGCUUUUGUACGGAACGAAAAGCUUUGGGUUAAUACCCUGGAGACAACACGGUACCGUAAGAAUAAGCCACGGCUAACUACGUGCCCGCCGCCGCGGUAAUACGUAGGGUGCAAGCGUUAAUCGGAAUUACUGGGCGUAAAGCGUGCGCAGGCUGUUUUGUAAGACAGAGGUGAAAUCCCCGGGCUCAACCUGGGAACUGCCUUUGUGACUGCAAGGCUAGAGUCCUGCCUCGGGGGGUUUCCUUCCGCGUGUCCCCGUACCGUUCGUAGAUAUGCGGACUAACACCGAUGACGCAGGCAACCCCCUGGGCCUGUACUGACGCUCAUGCACGAAAGCGUGGGGAGCACACA